UCUCAGAGCCUGGAGAACGUGUCUGGUUAUUAUGCAGAUGCACGGCUGGAGGUGGGAUCCACACAGCUCAGAACAGCUGGAUCUUGCUCACACUCUUUCAAGAGAAGCUUCCUUGGAGAAUAACACAGCCCUUCUGGGAGUCCACGCCAGCUUCCAAAUGUCUGUGGCAGCUCUUCCUUCAUUCUCAACACUUACGAACAGGAACAUAAAUAAAUAGAAGGAAAAAUAUCCAUUUAUAUUAAGAUGCUCUUCUUGUUAAAACCAAUUAACAAUUAAACAUUCUCUGUUACGAUAA
rnacentral:lncRNA from 10 species